rnacentral:rRNA from 1 species
GAUGAACGCUGGCGGCGUGCUUAACACAUGCAAGUCGAACGAAGCAUUUAGAACAGAUUAUUUCGGUAUGAAGUUUUUUAUGACUGAGUGGCGGACGGGUGAGUAACGCGUGGGUAACCUGCCUUGUACUGGGGGAUAGCAGCUGGAAACGGCUGGUAAUACCGCAUAAGCGCACAAUGUUGCACGACAUGGUGUGAAAAACUCCGGUGGUAUAAGAUGGACCCGCGUCUGAUUAGCUAGUUGGUGAGAUAACAGCCCACCAAGGCGACGAUCAGUAGCCGACCUGAGAGGGUGACCGGCCACAUUGGGACUGAGACACGGCCCAGACUCCUACGGGAGGCAGCCGUGGGGAAUAUUGCACAAUGGAGGAAACUCUGAUGCAGCGACGCCGCGUGAGUGAAGAAGUAAUUCGUUAUGUAAAGCUCUAUCAGCAGGGAAGAUAGUGACGGUACCUGACUAAGAAGCUCCGGCUAAAUACGUGCCAGCAGCCGCCGUAA